GGGGUAUUAGCUGAGUGGUAAAGCAUUCGACUGCGCAUCGAGAAGUACCCCGAUUCAAACCCGAAUGCUCCU